rnacentral:rRNA from 1 species
UCGACGAUGAUCCCGCUUGCUGGGGGAUUAGUGGCGAACGGGUGAGUAACACGUGAGUAACCUGCCCUUAACUCUGGGAUAAGCCUGGGAAACUGGGUCUAAUACCGGAUAUGACUCCUCAUCGCAUGGUGGGGGGUGGAAAGCUUUAUUGUGGUUUUGGAUGGACUCGCGGCCUAUCAGCUUGUUGGUGAGGUAAUGGCUCACCAAGGCGACGACGGGUAGCCGGCCUGAGAGGGUGACCGGCCACACUGGGACUGAGACACGGCCCAGACUCCUACGGGAGGCAGCAGUGGGGAAUAUUGCACAAUGGGCGAAAGCCUGAUGCAGCGACGCCGCGUGAGGGAUGACGGCCUUCGGGUUGUAAACCUCUUUCAGUAGGGAAGAAGCGAAAGUGACGGUACCUGCAGAAGAAGCGCCGGCUAACUACGUGCCAGCAGCCGCGGUAAUACGUAGGGCGCAAGCGUUAUCCGGAAUUAUUGGGCGUAAAGAGCUCGUAGGCGGUUUGUCGCGUCUGCCGUGAAAGUCCGGGGCUCAACUCCGGAUCUGCGGUGGGUACGGGCAGACUAGAGUGAUGUAGGGGAGACUGGAAUUCCUGGUGUAGCGGUGAAAUGCGCAGAUAUCAGGAGGAACACCGAUGGCGAAGGCAGGUCUCUGGGCAUUAACUGACGCUGAGGAGCGAAAGCAUGGGGAGCGAACAGGAUUAGAUACCCUGGUAGUCCAUGCCGUANACGUUGGGCACUAGGUGUGGGGGNCAUUCCACGUUUUCCGCGCCGUAGCUAACGCAUUAAGUGCCCCGCCUGGGGAGUACGGCCGCAAGGCUAAAACUCAAAGGAAUUGACGGG